rnacentral:rRNA from 1 species
UACAGAGGGCCCGAGCGUUGUUCGGAUUCACUGGGCGUAAAGGGUGCGUAGGUGGCCUAGCAAGUUUGAUGUGAAAGCUCAGGGCUUAACCCUGAAAUGGCAUUGAAUACUGCUGUGCUGGAGGUUUGGAGGGGGGACUGGAAUUCUUGGUGUAGCAGUGAAAUGCGUAGAUAUCAAGAGGAACACCAGUGGCGAAGGCGAGUCCCUGGACAACACCUGACACUGAGGCACGAAAGCUAGGGGAGCAAACAGG